rnacentral:rRNA from 1 species
UACGGAGGGUGCAAGCGUUAUCCGGAUUCACUGGGUUUAAAGGGUGGCGUAAGGCGGUCAGAUAAGGUCAGUGGUGAAAGCCCGCGGCUCAAACCCGUGGAAUUUGCCCAUUGAAACUGCCUGACUUGAAUACAGUUGAAGUGGAUGGAAUACAUCAUGUAGCGGUGAAAUGCUUAGAUAGUGAAUGUAGAACACCAAUUGCGAAGGCAGUUCACCUAAGGCUGAUCAUUGACGCUGAGGCACGAAAGCGUGGGGAGCGAACAGGAAUUAGACUACCGGUG